ACACUGGUUAGUUCAUAAGAAAAUAAAAGAAAACUGGAAAAAAAAAAAAAAAAAACAGAGAAUUAAGGAAGAAGAUUAGACCGAGUCUUGUGGAAAACACAAUCUCCUUAAAACAGAUUCGCCUUCUCCACAGGUGCUUUGAGAAUCGCAAGGCGUCUGUCUCCCAGGAUAAAACGAUCUUCGAAUGGCAGCAACAGCACUCUGCAGCCACUCCGGCGAACUGGAAUUUGUUCAACUCUAUCACGGACACGGAAGGAAGGAACUCUUAAACACUCUGACAAUACUCCUAAGUUUUUCUGUACUAUUUUGAAAGAAAGUCUACCACUAUUUAUAGACUUCAAGGAGGGAAGAACACAGACAGGUUCAGAAAGCCAAAAUGAAUUUGGCUUCUUGAGACUCUUAGAAUUCUGGAAAAUUGAAUGAAUUUACUUAAUUCAAUGGAUUUAUUAAUUUCAUUCAUCCCCUUUUUCCAACAUGAUAUUGUUUAUGUAGUUAUUUUUACAGGUUAUAAAUUCCAAACUUUUGAAAGCUUCUUCCAUGCUUUUUGUGCUGGAAGCUUUGGUGUUCUUGGCCACCUUUUGAGGGAGCUGGGCCAAUCUUUUUGCUCAUUUUUCUAACUUGUGAAAUGGGUUCAUGCUGAAGAAACCCACCAGUGUUUCAGUUUGAGUCUCUGCAGAUUAUCUAAACUUUGCACUGCAGUGUUAGAAGAGCCACAAUGGACAAAACUGCAAUUGCCCUUGAAGCUAUCAGCAAGGAGAUUGUUGAUCUGGAAAACAUCCCCCUUGAAGAAGUUUUCAAGAAACUAAAAUGCACACAAGAGGGCCUCAGCUUGGAUGAGGUGGAGAAGCGAUUGAAUGUGUUUGGGUACAACAAACUUGAAGAGAAAAAGGAAUAUAAAAUUCUCAAAUUUUUGGGAUUUAUGUGGAAUCCUCUCUCGUGGGUUAUGGAGGCAGCAGCAAUCAUGGCCAUUGCUCUUGCACAUGGAGGGAAUGAGGAUGUAGAUUACCCAUACUUUGUUGGCAUUCUGGCACUGCUUAUUAUCAAUUCAACCAUCAGCUUUGUAGAGGAAAACAAUGAUGGCAAUGCAGCAGCAGCCCUUAUGGCUCGGCUGGCUCCAAAAGCAAAGGUUUUACGAGAUGGCCAAUGGAAUGAGGAAGAUGCUUCUGUGUUGGUUCCUGGAGACAUUAUCAGUAUCAAACUAGGAGAUAUCAUCCCUGCUGAUGCAUGUUUACUUAAAGGAGAUCCUUUGAAAAUUGAUCAGUCUGCUCUCACAGGAGAGUCACUUCCGGUAACCAAAAAUCCUGGUGAGGGAGUUUACUCUGGUUCAACAUGUAAGCAAGGUGAAAUUGAAGCAGUUGUUAUUGCAACCGGAGUGCAUACUUUCUCUGGAAAGGCAGCUCAUCUUGUGGAAACCACUACACAUGUUGGCUAUUUUCAGCAGGUUUUAACUUCAAUUGGAAACUUUUGCAUCUGCUCAAUUGCCAUUGGAAUGGUGAUUGAGAUCAUUGUAAUACAUUGGGUUCAACACAGACAUUAUCGCUCUGGAAUAGAUAACCUGCUUGUCCUACUCAUUGGUGGUAUCCCAAUUGCAAUGCCAACAGUUCUGUCUGUUACCAUGGCCAUCGGUUCUCAUCGCCUAUCUAAGCAGGGUGCUAUAACGAAGAGAAUGACAGCUAUUGAGGAAAUGGCUGGGAUGGAUGUGCUCUGCAGUGAUAAGACAGGAACUUUAACUCUCAACAAGCUUACAGUAGACAAGAAUAUGAUCGAGGUUUUUGCCAAAGGUGUUGACAAGGAAAUGGUUGUAUUGAUGGCUGCAAGAGCUUCAAGGUUGGAGAAUCAAGAUGCUAUUGAUGCUGCAAUUGUGGCAAUGCUGGAUGAUCCUAAUGAGGCACGAGCUGGAAUUACAGAAGUUCACUUCCUUCCAUUCAAUCCAACUGAUAAGAGGACAGCGCUUACAUACAUUGACAACUCUGGUAAAAUGCACAGAGCUAGCAAGGGUGCACCAGAGCAGAUUCUCAAUCUGGCACAUAACAAAUCAGAUAUUGAAAGAAGAGUACAUUUAAUAAUCAAUAAAUUUGCAGAUCGUGGGCUUCGAUCCCUUGCAGUUGCUUGUCAGGAAGUACCUGCAGGCACCAAAGACAGUCCUGGUGGACCCUGGGAAUUUAUUGGUCUUCUCCCACUAUUUGACCCACCUCGCCAUGACAGUGCUGAAACAAUUAGAAGAGCUCUAGAUCUUGGAGUAAGUGUUAAGAUGAUUACAGGUGACCAAUUGGCAAUUGCUAAGGAGACUGGGAGACGGCUUGGAAUGGGCACAAACAUGUACCCUUCAUCAUCUUUACUUGGUGAUAAUAAGGAUCAAUCCAUUGCAACCUUACCAGUUGAUGAACUUAUUGAGAAAGCUGAUGGUUUUGCUGGUGUCUUUCCUGAACAUAAGUAUGAGAUUGUGAUGCGAUUACAAUCAAGAAAACACAUUGUUGGGAUGACGGGUGAUGGAGUCAAUGAUGCACCUGCCUUAAAGAAAGCAGACAUAGGAAUUGCUGUGUGGCAGAUUCAACAGAUGCUGCUCGAGGUGCUUCUGACAUAGUUCUGACAGAGCCUGGGCUAAGUGUAAUCAUCAGUGCUGUAUUAACCAGCCGUUCAAUAUUUCAAAGAAUGAAGAACUACACGAUAUAUGCAGUAUCUAUCACAAUACGUAUAGUUCUUGGUUUUCUGUUGCUCACUGCAUUCUGGAAGUUCAAUUUCCCUCCUUUCAUGGUUCUCAUUAUUGCCGUUCUUAAUGAUGGUACUAUCAUGACAAUAUCCAAAGACAGGGUCAAGCCAUCUCCAGUUCCUGACAGUUGGAAGCUUAGUGAAAUUUUUGCGACUGGGAUUGUCAUAGGAACUUAACUUGCCCUAAUGACAGUUGUAUUCUUCUGGGUAGCUUAUGAAACCAGUUUCUUUGCGAAAAACUUCCACGUAACAAAUUUCAACAAGCAUCACUACAAUCUCUCAGAUGAGAAAACCCAUGAUCAUCUGCAUGCACAGUUGGCAUCUGCAGUGUACCUUCAAGUUAGCACCAUCAGCCAGGCUUUAAUAUUUGUGACUCGCUCCAGGGGCUGGUCUUUCAUGGAUAGACCUGGUCUCGCUCUUGUUGCUGCCUUCAUCAUUGCUCAAUUGGUUGCAACUGUGAUAUCUGCCACAUUAUCAUGGAAACUUGCUGGGAUUAAAAAGAUUGGCUGGGGUUGGACUGGUGUUAUUUGGCUCUACAACAUUCUGACUUAUAUGUUGCUUGAUCCCAUCAAAUUUGGUGUGCGAUAUGCACUUAGCGGGAGAGCCUGGGGUCUGAUGCUAGAUCAAAGAACGGCAUUCAGCAACCAAAAGAACUUUGGUAAGGAAGCCCGCGAGGCUGCUUGGGCAGCCGAGCAGCGGACACUUCAUGGGCUUCAAUCUACAGAAGCAAAGGUACCAUUUGGACGGAACACUUAUGGGGAGACUAGCGUCAUGGCUGAAGAAGCUAAAAGACGUGCAGAGAUUGCAAGGCUAAGGGAGAUUCACACUCUGAAAGGAAAGAUCGAGUCUUUUGCAAAGCUGAGGGGUUUGGACAUUGGGGUCCACCCUCAUUAUACUCUCUGAUUUCUGUCUUGACUGGGAAUUCCUUUUCGGGUUAAUCUUUCCUUUCCCAUUUGUUGUUCACCAUCUGCCUCUAUAAUCAUCUAUUGGUCUGGUUUUGUGAACUAUCUAUAAAAGGCUUUUCAUGGCAAUGCAUAGGUUGUCAGCCACCACCAGCUGAAAGCUUGAAGCCGCUUACCUUUUGGUUCCUUCUCAUUUUCCUGGUAAUAUAAUGAUGUGUAUUAAGUCACAGAACUGGCACUGGGUGUGGUCUUUCUGCUUCAGUAGUCAGUACCAUCUGAAGUCUUCGCAAGAGAUUGUGGUAUUAUAUAUGCCUUUACAUUGUGACCAUGUAUUUCAACUCCUACUGUUCUUGAUAAACCACACAGCCCGUCUAGUGUAAAGAUGUUAUUUUUGUUUUUAAACCAUGAUCUCUUAUAAGUAAUGUAAGGUAGUGUUAAUUUUCCAAAGAC